CAGUCGCCGCGGUAAUACGAAGGGGGCUAGCGUUGCUCGGAAUGACUGGGCGUAAAGGGCGCGUAGGCGGCGAUCAAAGUCAGGCGUGAAAUUCCUGGGCUCAACCUGGGGGCUGCGUUUGAUACUUGGUUGCUUGAGUGGGGAAGAGGGUCGUGGAAUUCCCAGUGUAGAGGUGAAAUUCGUAGAUAUUGGGAAGAACACCGGUGGCGAAGGCGGCGACCUGGUCCUUUACUGACGCUGAGGCGCGAAAGCGUGGGGAGCAAACAGGAUUAGAUACCCGAGUAGUCCCUGUCUCUUAUAC
rnacentral:rRNA from 1 species